rnacentral:misc_RNA from 1 species
GAGCAGACUGCCGGUGAUAAGCCAGAUACCAUCGGCUUCAUCUAAACUUCAUAAAUUUCUAAAAAUUGGUGAGAGCCAAGGAUGAAACCAAGUUUAUAAUUUCUGCAUAAGCUGGCGGAUGGAAAAACAGCAUGGGCCAUGCUUGAAAUGAAGAAAAUUUUAUUGUUUGUGCCUGGGUUUUAAAUAAUGGUUGUUGCAUCCCAUGUGACCCAUGAUGCAACGAAAAAAUGGCUAUCCCAUGUAAAAUAUAUGGGAUUGAAUUUGGAUUCACAGAAUCACAGCUCUAUCAUCCACAUUGAUCCAAUACAUUGGUUACAUUUAUUUUGAUUUGAUAUGGAACUUGAUGGAAGUAUUUUUGGCUGCUAUGUUUAACUUUUGCACAGGAAGAGACAUGCACUGCUUUAAAACCCUAUUUUAAGUAGGAUGAAAUGGACAGUGGUGAGAAUGUAGUGGUGUUGGAUGAAUUACGUAAUGUUGAGAACAUACGAGUGUGGAUUAAGUGUAGAAGAUUAUUCCGAAUGGGCGCAUGAGAACAUUGCAGGACUUGGUAGUUAGUGUCAAGCAAAUGCAAUGAUUAUAAAAGUUGCAAUAAAGUUAGCAAAAGCAUUAUAUUCAUAGUGAGGUAGUAAUUCAAAGCAAAAAAACUAGAUGGAUCAACGGUGUUCAUGUACACAUAACCCAUUAAAAGAAACCGAACUAAUAUGAAUGUCCCAAAUUGGACCAUGCACAUCCGAAGGAUGGAUGAGUGAAUUCCGAAAAUUGGUGCUCGAGCAGGGCACCUCCUCCUCUGUGACUACCAAGUACUAACUCAUUGUAAAAUGGGGGAGAAAAGAAAAAAAAAUGAGAAAAAGAAAAGAGGGAAAAGGAGGGGGGAGAGAGAGACAGAGAUUAAUCCAGACAUUUUUCCUUGCCAUUUCUUGCAUUUGAUUAUUAUUAUUUUUUUUUUCUUCUCUCUUCCCUUUCUCCUUGACAGAAGUAUAAACUGUUACCUUUCUUGCCUUCUUGGGUUUUCAAUAUGUUGCUAUAUAAAUAGACCCUGACCUGGAGCUACAAUGCUAGGUUGUGCUUUGUGAUUGGCCUUUGUUUCCUUUGAAUCACCAACUAAUUUCCUUCUAUGCCGUUUACAGGUCUACAAUUAUACAUUCAAAC